ACAGAAGCCAGAGGACAGAGGGAUGGACAGAGGACAGAGUACAGAGGGAUGAGCAGAGGACAAGCGCUGAUACACACACCCUUGAGGUGUGUUUCUGUGAGUCUUCAGCUCAGUUAUACAGCUUGAUGGAGAAGUGGAACACAGAAGGAUUUUCAUCUAAGAAACCAGACUUUGCUCUCCCAUCAUCUGCCUUCUGGCAAAUUGCAGCAGAGCUAUCAGUGUGUAAUACAGCAGCAGCAGAACCAAAGGAUUGACGAAAUCAGGCCAGCUGACAUGGAGAUGAAGACCAAGACUGUACGGGUCUGAACUGUUGGU